ACUGAUGCGUUAAUAGGAAGAUUAGUACAUUUUGUUGCUUUAUAAUAGAGAGUCUGUGGUUGGUGGAAACAGAUAAAGCGCAAAAUCGAAUGGACUUCUAAGGACUGUUUGUGAAAGCUAGUAGCGAACAGCGGCUAAAGACCGUUACUUCUUUAAUAGAAAUUUUCUAUUGCUAAGAGCCUUUUUGGUACUUAGGGUGGCACCGCGGAUAACCGUUCGUCCCUAAC
rnacentral:ncRNA from 4 species